rnacentral:rRNA from 1 species
UACGUAGGGUGCGAGCGUUGCCCGGAUUUAUUGGGCGUAAAGGGCGCGUAGGCGGCCACGCACGUCCGUUGUGAAAUCGCCCGGCUCAACUGGGCGGGGUCAGCGGAUACGGUGUGGCUCGAGCAAGCUAGGGGGCAAUGGAAUUCCCGGUGUAGUGGUGGAAUGCGUAGAUAUCGGGAGGAACACCAGUGGCGAAGGCGGUUGCCUGGAGCUUUGCUGACGCUGAGGCGCGAAAGCGUGGGUAGCAAACAGG